UGCAAUUGAUAUUACAUGUACUUGUGGGAAAUGCAAAGUAUUGCCUUGUAGAUGUUAAAAUGUGUUUGACAUUGUGUGUUGUCACAACUUGUGGCAAGUUCAUAGAAACUAGCCAUUCCAUGCAAGAAGGAUAACUCUUUUUAGUGACAUUGCGUUUUCUCUGUGUAGUGCAUGAAUGUAAACUUAUCUAACAAGUAACUUGAUGUUAUUAUUUUACUUGUAAUACGAAUGUUAUUACUUUACAGUGCCAAAUAAGUGUGUGUAUUCUUGCCUGUAUCAAUGUACAUAUCUAAUAUGGCAGGAUCUGUAGGUGGCUUUAGCUUUUUCUAGCCUUGCUGUUUUGUGAUGUAGUUACUUCCCUUUGUUUAGUGAUUCAUGACCAAGUUGACACACACCAUAAUUCUUGUUGCCUCGCUUCCCCAUUAUAGUUAAUUAGUACAUAAAUAUCUUCACUGGCUUCAAUGACUGGUAAAUACUGGCUAAUUUAAAGAAAUACAUAUAAUACUAUGCUACUCGUACAGCAUUUCCAAAAUACAGGAAAAUGUAUUGAAUGGGCACUGGGAUACAGUACUAAGGAAAUCUGAAAGAAGAACACAAUUUCUGAAAGAAAAAAACUGUAUCUUAAAAAUAUGAACAUUUAAUGAGUUUGAUGAUAAAGAGUUCGGUUUUUUAAUAACAAUUUUGAUAUGCAAGUAGCAUACUGCACAUUAUGAUUCAAUACAUAUUGAUAACAACUUUUUCACAUAUACAUUCAUAUCAAAAGAAGUGAUAUUUCAAGCAAAUAAUAAGCUCCAUUUUUUUUCUUUUCUUUUUUUUGUGGCGUUAAAUAAUCUGUAAGCUUAUUUUUUAUGUGUUCAACUUAAAAGUUUUUAGUAGAUGUUCAUACACAUAAAUUUAAACGGUUGAAUAUGUGACUAUCCUGUUACAGCAGCAGUUUCGUAGGCAUUCCUUGUUGUAAAUGUGUAACAUUUAGUGAUAUUUUGUUUCACAACAAAAUACUGUAGCUUGUCCACCAUGUUGUGAAUUUAGCAAAGGUUGAUCAAGCCAUCUAUGAUGGUCUAUUGAAACCAUUUUAUUUCUAUGCAAUAUUGCCAGUGAUUCAUGAAUCUUGUAAACACAUUAAAAACAAUUUGUACAGAU
rnacentral:misc_RNA from 1 species